GAUGAACGCUGGCGGCGUGCCUAAUACAUGCAAGUCGAGCGAACAGACGAGGAGCUUGCUCCUCUGACGUUAGCGGCGGACGGGUGAGUAACACGUGGAUAACCUACCUAUAAACUGGGAUAACUUCGGGAAACCGGAGCUAAUACCGGAUAAUAUAUUGAACCGCAUGGUUCAAUAGUGAAAGACGGUUUUGCUGUCACUUAUAGAUGGAUCCGCGCCGCAUUAGCUAGUUGGUAAGGUAACGGCUUACCAAGGCAACGAUGCGUAGCCGACCUGAGAGGGUGAUCGGCCACACUGGAACUGAGACACGGUCCAGACUCCUACGGGAGGCAGCAGUAGGGAAUCUUCCGCAAUGGGCGAAAGCCUGACGGAGCAACGCCGCGUGAGUGAUGAAGGUCUUCGGAUCGUAAAACUCUGUUAUUAGGGAAGAACAAAUGUGUAAGUAACUAUGCACGUCUUGACGGUACCUAAUCAGAAAGCCACGGCUAACUACGUG
rnacentral:rRNA from 1 species